UACGGAGGAUGCGAGCGUUAUCCGGAUUUAUUGGGUUUAAAGGGUGCGUAGGCGGAUCGUUAAGUCAGUGGUCAAAUUGAGGGGCUCAACCCCUUCCCGCCAUUGAAACUGGCGAUCUUGAGUGGAAGAGAAGUAUGCGGAAUGCGUGGUGUAGCGGUGAAAUGCGUAGAUAUAUGGAGGAACACCGGUGGCGAAAGCGGCUCUCUGGCCUGUAACUGACACUGAGGCUCGAAAGCGUGGGGAGCAAACAGG
rnacentral:rRNA from 1 species